rnacentral:sRNA from 1 species
UUUUAGCCCAGGUAGUAGUGAAAAGCUUUUUGAAAGUUGUUUUCUGGUUUUUUUUAUUGUUGCAAAGCGACCAGAGGAAGCUCUUGCAAGAAUUGUAAAAAAACGAAAACAACUUUCAAAACUUGUAACGGAUAACUGGAUUAGCU